rnacentral:siRNA from 1 species
UGAUAACCGACUACACCACCC